UUAACAAGAAAAAUCUGGACAAAUUUCCCAGCUGCAACACAGAAAAGAUUCCUUAAGGGUUUCAUGCCUGACCUAAGGAAACAAAAAACUCAGAAGAUGAAGCUCAAGAACCUGUUUUCAGAGCUCAGGCCUACAGUAGCAAAACGAGGAGCAGGAUGCUCUGAGGGCAACAUCACCCAGGUGACUGUUAGCGACCCGUCUUUCCCCUUUGGCUACGACGUGACGCAGUUCGACCUCUGCCUGGACGUUCCGUUCUAAAAGACAACCUCUACACUAUCUGCCAGAAAGUGGAUGAUGAUGACUUCCAGAAAAUCCUUCUGAAGAAGCUCAACCAGGCAUUCCCAUCUGGAGUC